GUUGGUCGACGACAACAUUUUUUGAAUUGACUGUAUUUACAACCAUAAUACUGCACGUUACUCUUUAUAACAAGUUAUUUUUCACCGCUGUUUGCUAUCGUUUCACUGCAUAACUCAGCCAAGCACUGUGGGCCAACCUAAACUAAAUACUGCUGAACCCUGGCUGAAAUAACAUGUACUUUACAAUCUGUAAAUAAUGUGCAUCUAGUUAUAUUGUAUGAAUUUUUGCUGUGUUGUCAUUAAAAAAAACAUGUACUUUGCCUCUGCAAACAGUAAAAAAGGGAAAUCAUAUUACGCAGUAAAGGAAUACUGUGAUGUCAUUGAUGAAAAUGGUAAUGUUAAAAGGAAAACUGGAGUGCAAACUAAAGUUAGUUUUGAAGGCCAAGUAGUGGAUGUACAAUCUUCUCAAAAUAAUGAUUCAAGUGAAGAUGAGGAUGAUCAUGUUUAUCAUGAUUUAGAUAUACCAGUAGUUGAACAAUCAAUUUCUACAGACCACCAAAAAAGAAAGGAAAGCAAUGCUCGGCAUUGGCAAGAGCUGCGUUCCAAGCUGGUUGAAAUUUCCCUCGCAACAGAGGGAUUCCCUAGUUAUGGUGUUACGUGUAGGAGAUGUAGUAAUGACACUGCCAUUUAUCGCUGUAUUGAUUGUGGUGGUGCAGCGCUUUCUAUGUGUAAGGCCUGUUGUGAUCAAGUACAUGAAAAUGAAAAUAUUUUCCAUUUUCAAGAGGUUUGGCAGGAUCAAGAGUGGAAACCAUACUUAUUGCCGAAAGAACUGGUAAACCCAUUCCAUGACUGUGCUAAUGGGAAGGAAAAAAGGAUGAUAACAGUGGUAGAUUCAAAAGGUAGACAUCAUGAUGUUUCAAUAACUUUCUGCCAAUGUGAAACUCCAGGGGAAACUUUGGCGCAUCUUCAUCUGUGGCCAGCAACACCAUGUAACCCAAGCCUUGCAUUCACUUGGGACUUACUUACUAGUCUUCAGUCACUGAUGUUUGAAUGUCAGGUUUCUGUGUACGACUACGUGAAACACCUGGAUUUCUACAAAACGAUUUUUGACAGGGUAUUACAGCCUGCUUGCAUCACCAGAUGCAGCACAGGCCAAGAAUCGUACCAUUUACAGACAGCUUUUAGAAAGUUUCGAAGAGUUUAGAUACCAUUGGAAGGCAAGAGAAAACUGUUGUCUAGAGAAAGAUAAGUUAGCAAUCAUGUUGAAUCCCUUGCGGUGCCCUGCAUGUCCAACAGGAUCAGAUCAGGUUCCAGGUGACACAUUUAUGUCAGCUGAUGCAUGCUUUGGGCUACCAAGAAAAAAGUCUCGUUCUAGAAGCUACCAAGAGCCCUUGUCUAGUGGCAUGUACUUCCUUCCGCAAUCUGAUACUGACACAUUUAUGGAAUUGUAUCCAAAAUCAACAAAAGACCAGGAUGAGAAUGCAAAGAUAUUUUUUCCGAGAGUAAUUGCAAGGCCCAAGCAAAUACAGGGGGAUGUAAUUACCCCUACACACUGAAAAACUGCAGAAAAACAUGUAAAAACUGCACAAUAACAACGACAAGCCCACCUACACAAGCCACGACNACAAAAAUUACAACAACAAAAGUUACAACUACCAUACCUCACAAUAAUAACCUUUCUACAACACCUUUGAUAAACAUUAGUAC
rnacentral:misc_RNA from 1 species